rnacentral:pre_miRNA from 17 species
CAGUGCCCCUUCCUCUGCCCACUCAGCCGCGACGUGGCAGCCGACUAAGGGCCUCGGGGCGACGU